rnacentral:lncRNA from 1 species
AUGAAAUUACUCCAUCUACAGAAAAAACAUGUUAAGCAAAUAAAAAAGUUUCAGGUCUCUUCUGAUUUGUUUAGUGUAUAUUUCUCUAGGGUUGUUGUUGCCAUUUUAGUAUUUUGUUGUCUCCUUCAUUUAUUCUUCCCUGGAUAG